UACGGGGGGAGCAAGCGUUGUUCGGAUUUACUGGGCGUAAAGGGCGCGUAGGCGGCGCAACAAGUCACUUGUGAAAUCUCCGGGCUUAACCCGGAGCGGCCAAGUGAUACUGUCGUGCUAGAGUGCGGAAGGGGCUACUGGAAUUCUCGGUGUAGCAGUGAAAUGCGUAGAUAUCGAGAGGAACACCUGCGGCGAAGGCGGGUAGCUGGGCCGACACUGACGCUGAUGCGCGAAAGCCAGGGGAGCGAACGGG
rnacentral:rRNA from 1 species